GCUAGCGGGUGGAGGGGUGGGGCUGGUACCCGAGGGAAGAAAGCGGGAGGUCGCGGAGCUGCCUUUGUAGCCGGGGCCGUGACGCCCAGCCCCCCCUGCGUGGCUCUCAGGCCGCCCUAUCAUUACCUGGGGCCGUGCUCCGCCCGCUCCCACUGCCACCUAAACAUUUAGGUAGAAGCUCGGCCUCCCUCCGCGCCUCCCCGCCCUCCCGCGCUCGGCUGCCUUCCGAGACCCCUGCCCGCCCGCCAGCCCUGGGCAGCUCCUCCAGGUUCAGCCGCGCCCUCCCUUGCAGGGCGGUCCGUGAAGAGCAGGGGCGCGUCACAUUCUUCCCGUUUGGGUACUUGCCCUACUGCUUGCUCUUCUUCGACCCAGAGCUAACUCAGGCCCUCUUUCUACACUUUGAAGCCAAAUUCGAAUUUUUUUUUCUCCUUAAGGAUGUGUAUGGGGAAGAAUGGCUGAUGCGUUGCCAAAAAGUGUUCCCUGCCUCAGCCGUUGACCCAGGUGCCAACAGUUACCUGUUUACAGGAUGUCUUUGGCCAGAGGACACGGUUGGAGUGGUGGGGAGGGGUCACUUUGUCUUCUUCUCCCGUGGAUUUUUAUUAGGGUGCAGAAAGACCCGACUGAAGCAGAUUGCUGACUCGAAUCGCAGUGUACGUCCUGUCUGCUGGGGCAGAGCCUGUCCUAUACAGGCAGCCCAGCAGCGUCAGGGAAAUGUUACCUUGCCUCUGCUCCGCUUGGGAAGGAGCACUGGGAGCUGGAGACAGCUGUCCCCCCUCCGGGGACUGGGUGUCUUCCUCUUCCUCCCCUGGACCCCACUUCUUGCCAGGGUCUAUGUGCCUCAUGACCCGGAAGAGGAAGCAGGCCCCAGAGCGCAUGUCAUGAGAUCCCCACCCCGCCCAGUGGCCUGGCACUUGGGCAGCUGCCCGGUCACCGUCCUCAGCGAAGAUGACCUCCCUGCCAAGCCAGGUGGAUCCACUUGGUGCUAUGGGAUCCUCUGCCCUGAAACUCCCUCAUAAUACUAGUAGAUAAUCAAUAAUAAUCAUUAGCCAUUACUGAUUGUGUCCUGCACUGUUUCUAAGUGCUUCUCGAGUAUUACUGUAGUUC
rnacentral:lncRNA from 1 species